rnacentral:rRNA from 1 species
ACCUGGAGAUAGCUGGUUCUCUCCGAAAUAGCUUUAGGGCUAGCCUCAAGUGAUGAUUAUUGGAGGUAGAGCACUGUUUGGACGAGGGGCCCCUCUCGGGUUACCGAAUUCAGACAAACUCCGAAUGCCAAUUAAUUUAACUUGGGAGUCAGAACAUGGGUGAUAAGGUCCGUGUUCGAAAGGGAAACAGCCCAGACCACCAGCUAAGGUCCCAAAAUAUAUGUUAAGUGGAAAAGGAUGUGGCGUUGCCCAGACAACUAGGAUGUUGGCUUAGAAGCAGCCAUCAUUUAAAGAGUGCGUAAUAGCUCACUAGUCGAGUGACACUGCGCCGAAAAUGUACCGGGGCUAAACAUAUUACCGAAGCUGUGGAUUGUCCUUUGGACAAUGGUAGGAGAGCGUUCUAAGGGCGUUGAAGCAUGAUCGUAAGGACAUGUGGAGCGCUUAGAAGUGAGAAUGCCGGUGUGAGUAGCGAAAGACGGGUGAGAAUCCCGUCCACCGAUUGACUAAGGUUUCCAGAGGAAGGCUCGUCCGCUCUGGGUUAGUCGGGUCCUAAGCUGAGGCCGACAGGCGUAGGCGAUGGAUAACAGGUUGAUAUUCCUGUACCACCUAUAAUCGUUUUAAUCGAUGGGGGGACGCAGUAGGAUAGGCGAAGCGUGCGAUUGGAUUGCACGUCUAAGCAGUAAGGCUGAGUAUUAGGCAAAUCCGGUACUCGUUAAGGCUGAGCUGUGAUGGGGAGAAGACAUUGUGUCUUCGAGUCGUUGAUUUCACACUGCCGAGAAAAGCCUCUAGAUAGAAAAUAGGUGCCCGUACCGCAAACCGACACAGGUAGUCAAGAUGAGAAUUCUAAGGUGAGCGAGCGAACUCUCGUUAAGGAACUCGGCAAAAUGACCCCGUAACUUCGGGAGAAGGGGUGCUCUUUAGGGUUAACGCCCAGAAGAGCCGCAGUGAAUAGGCCCAAGCGACUGUUUAUCAAAAACACAGGUCUCUGCUAAACCGUAAGGUGAUGUAUAGGGGCUGACGCCUGCCCGGUGCUGGAAGGUUAAGAGGAGUGGUUAGCUUCUGCGAAGCUACGAAUCGAAGCCCCAGUAAACGGCGGCCGUAACUAUAACGGUCCUAAGGUAGCGAAAUUCCUUGUCGGGUAAGUUCCGACCCGCACGAAAGGCGUAACGAUUUGGGCACUGUCUCAACGAGAGACUCGGUGAAAUCAUAGUACCUGUGAAGAUGCAGGUUACCCGCGACAGGACGGAAAGACCCCGUGGAGCUUUACUGUAGCCUGAUAUUGAAAUUCGGCACAGCUUGUACAGGAUAGGUAGGAGCCUUUGAAACGUGAGCGCUAGCUUACGUGGAGGCGCUGGUGGG